UAGCGUAUAGUACUGUGAAGGAAAGGUGAAAAGCACCCCGGGAGGGGAGUGAAAAAGAACCUGAAACCCUGUGCCUACAAGCACCUAGAGCACGUCAAUGUGUGAUAGGGUACUUUUUGUAGAACGGUCCGGCGAGCGAUUGUAUGCAGCAAGGUUAAGGACUUAAGGUCUGGAGCCGAAGCGAAAGCGAGUUUGAAAAGGGCGUUAAGUUGCAUACAAUGGGCCCGAAACCGGGUGACCUACCCAUGGUCAGGUUGAAGUGGAAGUAAAAUUCCAUGGAGGACCGAACCGACCUCCGUUGAAAAGGCGGCGGAUGAACUGUGGGUAGCGGAGAAAUUCCAAUCGAACCCGGAGAUAGCUGGUUCUCCCCGAAAUAGUUUUAGGACUAGCCUCAAGUUAGAUACCUGGAGGUAAAGCACUGAAUAGCCUAGCGGCCGAGAGGUUAGCGAAGCUUAUCAAACUCAGAAUGCCAGAGUAUUGAUGCUUGGGAGUCAGACAGUGUCAGAUAAAUGUCAUUGUCAAAAGGGAAACAGCCCAGAUCUACAGCUAAGGUCCCAAAGUCAGGUUAAGUGGAAAACGAUGUGAAGAUACGUAGACAACCAGGAUGUUGGCUCAGAAGCAGCCACACAUUCAAAGAGUGCGUAAUAGCUCACUGGUCGAGCGUCUUUGCGCGGAGAAUUUAACGGGGCUAAACCUGACACCGAAGCUUAGGCAAUACAGCAAUGUAUUGGGUAGGGGAGCGUUGUAUACGCGGUGAAACAGUAGCGCAAGCGGCUGUGGAGUGUAUAGAAGUGAGAAUGCCGGAAUGAGUAGCGCGAAUGCAGUGAGAAUCUGCAUGGCCGAAAGCCUCAGGUUUCUGGAGGAAGGUUCGUCCGCUCCAGGUUAGUCGGGAGCUAAGGUGAGGCCUAACGGCGUAGCCGAUGCACAGACGGUAGAGAUUCCGUCACCACCAAAAGAGUUAAACACAGGGACACAUUUGAAGUCUCGGAGCCGGGUGUUGGUUCCGGUAGCGAUCGAGGGAAAUUAGUACCGAAGUCCGGGAUGGAAGAUGGCGAGAAAAGCUGUGUGUAUUUCUGCGGUGCCCGUACCGCAAACCGACACAGGUAGGUAGGAAGAAGAUUCUAAGGCCAACGGGAGAAGGGUUGUUAAGGAACUCGGCAAAUUGACCCCGUAACUUCGGGAGAAGGGGUGCUCUAGAGAUAGAGCCGCAGAGAAUCGGCCCAAGCAACUGUUUACCAAAAACACAGGUUUGUGCUAAAUCGAAAGAUGACGUAUACGAGCUGACGCCUGCCCGGUGCUGGAAGGUUAAGAGGAGAUGUGCAAGCAUUGAAUCGAAGCCCCAGUGAACGGCGGCCGUAACUAUAACGGUCCUAAGGUAGCGAAAUUCCUUGUCAGGUAAGUUCUGACCCGCAUGAAAGGCGUAAUGAUUUGGGCACUGUCUCGACAGCCCGCCCGGCGAAAUUGUAGUACCGGUGAAGAUGCCGGUUACCCGCGACAAGACGGAAAGACCCCAUGGAGCUUUACUGUAGCCUAAUAUUGGGUUUCGAUGUUGCAUGCACAGGAUAGAUGGGACACAGGGAAACAAGUGCUUUGGCAUUUGUGGAGUGGCCGUUGGGAUACCAUCCUUGCGAUAUUGGAAUUCUAACCUGCGCCUUUGAAUCAAGGCGGGGGACAUUGUUAGGUGGGCAGUUUGACUGGGGCGGUCGCCUCCUAAAGAGUAACGGAGGCGUUCAAAGGUUCGCUCAGCUUGAACGGAAAUCAAGCAAAAGAGUGCAAACGCAGAAGCGAGCCUAACUGCGAGACUGACGGGUCGAGCAGUAACGAAAGUUGGAGUUAGUGAUCCGGUGGUAUGUGAGUGGAAAUGCCAUCGCUCAACGGAUAAAAGUUACCCUGGGGAUAACAGGCUGAUCUCCCCCAAGAGUCCACAUCGACGGGGAGGUUUGGCACCUCGAUGUCGGCUCAUCGCAUCCUGGGGCUGUAGCAGGUCCCAAG
rnacentral:rRNA from 1 species